GACGAACGCUGGCGGCGUGCUUAACACAUGCAAGUAGAACGAAGUGGCGAACGGGAGAGUAAUACGUGGGUAACCUGCCCUCGUUUUUGGGAUAAGCCUUGGAAACGGGGUCUAAUACAGAAUACAGGGGGAUGGGCUCGCGGCCUAUCAGCUUGUUGGUGGGGUGAUGGCCUACCAAGGCGGUGACGGGUAGCCGGCCUGAGAGGGUGACCGGUAACAAGGGGACGGCGAUACGGCCCAGACUCCUACGGGAGGCAGCAGUGGGGGAUAGUGCACAAUGUUCGAAAGCCUGAUGCAGCGACGCCGCGUGGGGGAUGAAGGCGUUCGGGUUGGAAACCUCUGUCGCUAUCGAGCGGGUAGGUGGAGAAGAAGCGCCGGCUAACUACGUGCCAGCAGCCGCGGUAAUAC
rnacentral:rRNA from 1 species